GACGAACGCUGGCGGUGGGCUUAACACAUGCAAGUCGAACGGAAAGGCCCUGCUUUCGUGGGGUGCCCGAGUGGCGAACGGGUGAGUAACACGUGAGUAACCUGCCCUUGACUUUGGGAUAACUUCAGGAAACUGGGGCUAAUACCGGAUAGGAGCUCCUGCUGCAUGGUGGGGGGUGGAAAGUUUCGGCGGUUGGGGAUGGACUCGCGGCUUAUCAGCUUGUUGGUGGGGUAGUGGCUUACCAAGGCUUUGACGGGUAGCCGGCCUGAGAGGGUGACCGGCCACAUUGGGACUGAGAUACGGCCCAGACUCCUACGGGAGGCAGCAGUGGGGAAUAUUGCCCAAUGGUCGGAAGCCUGAUGCAGCAACGCCGCGUGCGGGAUGACGGCCUUCGGGUUGUGAACCGCUUCCGCCUGUGACGAAGCGUGAGUGACGGUAAUGGGUAAAGAAGCACCGGCUAACUACGUG
rnacentral:rRNA from 1 species